CUUGGUCAUUUAGAGGAAGUAAAAGUCGUAACAAGGUCUCCGUUGGUGAACCAGCGGAGGGAUCAUUACAGAGUUACACAACUCACCAAACCAUUGUGAACCGUACCUUUACCGUUGCUUCGGCGGGAGGCGCCCCGUGCCCCUGUGGCGCGCCGGGCGUCCCCUGGCCCCCUCGCGGGGCGCCCGCCGGAGGAAUACCCAAAACCCUUUGCAGCACAUGGCCUCUCUGAGUCUUCUGUACUGAAUAAGUCAAAACUUUCAACAACGGAUCUCUUGGUUCUGGCAUCGAUGAAGAACGCAGCGAAAUGCGAUAAGUAAUGUGAAUUGCAGAAUUCAGUGAACCAUCGAAUCUUUGAACGCACAUUGCGCCCGCCAGUAUUCUGGCGGGCAUGCCUGUUCGAGCGUCAUUUCAACCAUCAAGCCCCCGGGCUUGUGUUGGGGACCUGCGGCUGCCGCAGGCUCUGAAAUCCAGUGGCGGGCUCGCUGACACACCGAGCGUAGUAGAUUUACAACCUCGCUUUGGGAGUGCUGCGGGUGCUAGCCGUAAAACGACCUUGUCUUUAGCACUAGGUUGACCUCGGAUCAGGUAGGGAGACCCGCUGAACUUAAGCAUAUCAAUAAGCGGAGGA
rnacentral:rRNA from 1 species